CUUUGUAGUGACCCCAGUGUUGCCUCGCCUUGUAAAUGCAAGUGUGGCAUCUUGUGCUCUAAGUUUUCUCAUAUCAAUUUUUGGGCUCCAAGUUUCUCUUUGCAAUUUCCACCGUUUUUCCCAUAACCUACGCCACUGUGAAGUUUUCCUCUUGCGUUUUCCAUUUAUGCUGAAUAUCAUCCUCAACCCUCAUUUACUUCCCCUACUCAUUGGAACACUAAAUUUGCUGCCAUCACUAAAGACCAAAGAUGACCAAACCCUAUUGGCUAUCGCGAAGACGUAAACCCCAAACAGUCUCUUUCCCUCAAACUCGCAGUGCAGAUAGCGGUUUGUAGACAGAAGUACCUCUAAUCCUCCCUUUGCAUUAAGCCAUUGACUUACUUCUUCCUUUAUUUGUCUUCAACUUCAAAACUCGACACGAAAGCACCUCCAUCGUUAGAGCCAGAAAGGAGAUGAUUCCUUUACAGUUACUUAUUUUGUGAACUUUUAGGGCUUGUCCAUCAAAGAUGCUACUAAGGUAUCAAAAAAGGUUAAAUUCAAUAAACCAUUGUGUGCAUUCUUUUUUGUCCGCACACGCUACAAGAUAAUGGCCAAUGAUCUUCAAAUCAAAGGAGAUCAAAGCAUUACCCCUGUUUAGAUGCUAGAGAUGGGAUGAUGAUGAUAGGGUAAAUGAUUUAAUUAUAAGCAGUUGAUUGUGUUCCGUUCAGCUGAAUAAAUUGGGCAAAACAUCAGCAGAUGUCACCUUACUUUUCACAUGGGUUGUAAGUGAUGUUUUUUGUUUGCUGUUAUGGUUAUUAGAAUUUUUGUUAAAGGUAAACCAUGUAAUGAUGAAAGAAAGUGAAGCAAGUAGAUAUUUUCAAUAGCUUAUAAAUGCUAUUAAUUAUUGCCACAGCAGGGAUGUCUACUAUCGAGACCUAAAGGUAAGACUUAUUCUCCUGUCUUAUCAGCAAAAUUUCACUUUGAUAUCAAAAGAAACAAACUCUUAUAUGGUUUUCAUUUUUUAUUUAAUAAAAAUUUUACAGCUAGAAAAGUUGCUAUUAGAUGCUUCUGAAAUUUCUAAAGUUUCUGAUUUUAGGUUAAGUGCUCUGUCCCAACAAGUCAAGGUAGUUGUGUUUCAUUGCCUUCUAAGAUUUACUUUUCUUUGUUAUUUAUCUUUAUUCAAUAUAUUGAUAAUCCUAUUGUCAAGUUUGCUGCUAAUCAUCCUUUGAGAAAAAGAAAAUGAAAGAAAGCAAAACAAUUGUUUUUUUAAUUUAUUUUAACAUAUCUGUAAAUUGGCUAAAUGCUUGCUUUUAACACACCUUACAUGUGCUUAUUUAUAUGCAUGAAUCUUGUAUUGGCUUUUCAGGAUGGGUAAUAUAGGAUUUGAAAAAAGAGAGGGGAUAUACUAGCUCGCAUCACAAGCCUUGUGAUUGUUAAACUAGCGCCUACAGUUGAGAAUAGAAUAAGUAAAUGGUGGUAUUAAAUUGAUUAAUAUUUUUAAUAGUAUACUUUUAAAGGUCCCAUUUUGUUGCUUUGUUCUUUGAUUUUUUUUUUAAUUGAAAGGCAUUAACUAUCAAUGACUCCAUAUGAUGUUGCAAUUAGUAUUUUUGGAGAAGAUAG